rnacentral:rRNA from 1 species
CACGUAGGGCGCAAGCGUUGUCCGGAAUUAUUGGGCGUAAAGAGCUCGUAGGCGGUCUGUUGCGUCCGCUGUGAAAACUCGGGGCUUAACCCCGAGCCUGCAGUGGAUACGGGCAGACUAGAGGUAGGUAGGGGAGAAUGGAAUUCCAGGUGUAGCGGUGAAAUGCGUAGAUAUCUGGAGGAACACCGGUGGCGAAGGCGGCAUCCUGGACCAACACUGACACUGAGGAGCGAAAGCCAGGGGAGCAAACGGG